rnacentral:rRNA from 1 species
AUUGAACGCUGGCGGCAGGCCUAACACAUGCAAGUCGAGCGGAUGAAGGGAGCUUGCUCCUGGAUUCAGCGGCGGACGGGUGAGUAAUGCCUAGGAAUCUGCCUGGUAGUGGGGGAUAACGUCCGGAAACGGGCGCUAAUACCGCAUACGUCCUGAGGGAGAAAGUGGGGGAUCUUCGGACCUCACGCUAUCAGAUGAGCCUAGGUGGGAUUAGCUAGUUGGUGGGGUAAGGGCCUACCAAGGCGACGAUCCGUAACUGGCCUGAGAGGAUGAUCAGUCACACUGGAACUGAGACGCGGUCCAGACUCCUAAGGGAGGCCGCAGUCGGGAAUAGUGGGCAACGGGGGAAAGCCUGACACAGCCAUGCCGCGUGUGUGAAGAAGGUCUUCGGAGUGGAAAGCACUUUAAGUUGGGAGGAAGGGCAGUAAGUUAAUACCUUGCUGUUUUGACGUUACCAACAGAAGAAGCACCGGCUAACUACGUG